UCCUAAAUAAAAUCAAAACUGUACAAGUAUUCAGCGUAAAAAAAUGAAGAAGAAAGAAAAGAGAUGAGAGAACAUCAGAAUUACAUAUGUUGUUCCAAAUGCCAGACAGGUGAUCCCUAACUAGGAAAGGCAGCCUAUAGCUCAGUUUCUAAUACAACCCUUCAUAUUCUGCCCUUCUCGUUUCUCAACGUGUUCAAUUCUUCAGAAUAAGUAUGCCGUGUUACCAUCGAAUUCCACCUUGCUCAGCACACGAUCUCUUCCUCUUCCUUGGGCCAACUGGUUCAACCAUCUGAAACUGUGUCUGCACAUGAGCUCUAUUAUUUGUGUUUGUGGGUGCGAGGGAGAGAGAGAGAGAGAGAGAGAUGGUAUAGAAGCAUAUAUAAAAGAAGAAUAGAAACAGCGAUAACUAUAACUGCGGGAGCUGCAUAGAAAACAGAGCUUCAGAUCAUGGAUACAAAGCUCCUGGAACUGCACUAGCUGUUUCAUGCCCUGAAGCACAGCAUAAAUUAACUACACAAAUAAAUAAUAGUAUCCCCAAGUUUAGGCGGCGUUACCAAUUAUUUGGAUGGACCAAGGGAAAUGAAGACGAAGAUAUGCAGUGUAUAAUCAAUAUUUGGUUCACAUGAGGAGAUAUAAAGAUGAACAGUGGCAGGCAGUCACAAAAAAUUGAAACCUCUAUCAAUGGAUUCCGCCCACACCGAUCUCCAGAUUAUGGAGCAGGAAAUGAGAAUGUAAGAGACAUACUCAUGCAAGACACAACCAUCAGCAAUUGUCCAUUCAAAUAAAGGCUACCCAACAAGACAAAUAUCCUUUUUGAGAAGUCAAAGUAGGGCGAUGUUCAUAAUUAUUGUCACUAGCAACGUCCCUUGCUAUCAGAACCAGACUUGGAUCGCCUAGAACAGGGGACAAGGAGGUGGAGCAGGUGGGGAUUCAGAGGCAAAUAUAGCCUGAUAUUAAAAAAAAUGUUGGAUAGCAGAUUAGGUGAGAUGUCCAUAAUAAGACUGCCAAUGAUAUCCCUUGAACCCAUGGAUGGAGACAUGCGGCUGACAAUCCUAGAACAGACAGCCCACCAAACCAUACUCUCGGAGAUGCAGAGAACCCACAUAGUCUGAAGGACGCUAAGGAUCAAACCAGGAACCUUCAUGACCCACUUGAACACCAGAGAAGAACCUUCAUGAUCCUCUUGAAAGAGAGCAAGGUGCAGUAUUUUCAAGCCUCCUGUUUAUAGGAUUAACACGAGGCUUCUGAAUGGUCGCUGCUAAAUCUUGCCUAGAAAUCCCAACAGCACUCACAACUCUUAGAAACGGCCAAAUAGUGAAAGAUAUAAAUUUGGGCAUGGUGACCUAC
rnacentral:lncRNA from 1 species